GCACCCGCACAAGCGGUGGAGCAUGCUGUUUAAUUCGAAGAUACGCGAAGAACCUUACCUAGGCUUGACAUCCCUGGCAAAGCUAUAGAAAUAUAGUGGAGGCUAUCCAGGUGACAGGUGGUGCAUGGUUGUCGUCAGCUCGUGUCGUGAGAUGUUCGGUUAAGUCCGAUAACGAGCGCAACCCUUAUCAUUAGUUACUAACAUUCAGUUGAGGACUCUAAUGAGACUGCCGGUGAUAAACCGGAGGAAGGUGGGGAUGACGUCAAAUCAUCAUGCCCCUUACGUCUAGGGCUACAGGCGUGCUACAAUGGCUGGUACAAAGAGAAGCAAGACCGUGAGGUGGAGCAAAUCUCCAAAACCAGUCCCAGUUCGGAUUGGAGUCUGCAACUCGACUCCAUGAAGUUGGAAUCGCUAGUAAUCCUGAAUCAGAAUGUCAGGGUGAAUACGUUCCCGGGUGUU
rnacentral:rRNA from 1 species